AUACGGAGGGUGCAAGCGUUGUUCGGAUUUAUUGGGCGUAAAGCGAGUGUAGGCGGUUUGACAAGUUGAAUGUGAAAUCCCGAGGCCCAACCUCGGAACUGCAUCCGAAACUGUCAGGCUAGAGUCCCGGAGAGGAUGGCGGAAUUCCCGGUGUAGGGGUGAAAUCCGUAGAUAUCGGGAGGAACACCAGUGGCGAAGGCGGCCAUCUGGACGGUGACUGACGCUGAGACUCGAAAGUGUGGGUAGCAAACAGGAUUAGAAACCCUAGUAGUCC
rnacentral:rRNA from 1 species